CCUACGGGUGGCAGCAGUGGGGAAUAUUGCACAAUGGGGGAAACCCUGAUGCAGCGACGCCGCGUGAGUGAAGAAGUAUUUCGGUACGUAAAGCUCUAUCAGCAGGGAAGAAAAUGACGGUACCUGACUAAGAAGCCCCGGCUAACUACGUGCCAGCAGCCGCGGUAAUGCGCAGGGGGCAAGCGUUAUCCGGAUUUACUGGGUGUAAAGGGAGCGUAGACGGCAGCGCAAGUCUGGAGUGAAAUCCCAUGGCUUAACCAUGGAACUGCUUUGGAAACUGUGCAGCUAGAGUGCAGGAGAGGUAAGAGGAAUUCCUAGUGUAGUGGUGAAAUGCGUAGAUAUUAGGAGGAAAACCAGUGGCGAAGGCGGCUUACUGGACUGUAACUGACGUUGAGGCACGAAAGCGUGGGUAUCGAACAGGAUUAGAUACCCCAGUAGUC
rnacentral:rRNA from 1 species